AAUUUGACACUUGUGGUAUUUCUUCACAAAUUUGCAACAGUCAGAUUCCAUUGUCAGCCAAUAGUAACCUGCUCGCAACAUAUUCUUCGUCAUUGCAUGUCCAUUGGAAUGAGUACCAAAGGAACCUUCGUGCACUUCGGUCAUCAACAAGUCUGCUUCGUGUCUAUCCACGCAUCUGAGCAAAACCAUGUCGAAGUUUCUCUUGUACAGUAUAUCAAUGCACUUCGGUCAUCAACAAGUCUGCUUCGUGUCUAUCCACGCAUCUGAGCAAAACCAUGUCGAAGUUUCUCUUGUACAGUAUAUCAC
rnacentral:lncRNA from 1 species